GCCUGGGUGGCUCAGUCGGUUGAGCGUCUGACUUCAGCUCAGGUCAUGAUCUCACACUCCGUGAGUUCGAGCCCCACGUCGGGCU
rnacentral:tRNA from 1 species